rnacentral:rRNA from 1 species
CCUACGGGUGGCAGCAGUGAGGAAUAUUGGUCAAUGGACGAGAGUCUGAACCAGCCAAGUAGCGUGAAGGAUGACUGCCCUGUGGGUUGUAAACUUCUUUUAUAUGGGAAUAAAAUGUUCCACGUGUUGGAUUUUGUAUGUACCUUAUGAAUAAGGAUCGGCUAACUCCGUGCCAGCAGCCGCGGUAAUACGGAGGAUCCGAGCGUUAUCCGGAUUUAUUGGGUUUAAAGGGAGCGUAGGUGGAUUGUUAAGUCAGUUGUGAAAGUGUGCGGCCCAACCGUAAAAUUGCAAUUGAAACUGGCAGUCUUGAGUACAGUAGAGGUGGGCGGAAUUCGUGGUGUAGCGGUGAAAUGCUUAGAUAUCACGAAGAACUCCGAUUGCGAAGGCAGUUCACUGGACUGCAACUGACACUGAGGCUCGAAAGUGUGGGUAUCAAACAGGAUUAGAUACCCGAGUAGUC